UUAAAAUGAUGAUCACCCAUGCUAAUAUUGAGAAAACUUUAGGUUUUCGCUGAGUAAAACAAAACUUCUCAAAAUAAACUGAUUUUU
rfam:Stomoxys calcitrans breed 8C7A2A5H3J4 unplaced genomic scaffold Scaffold210, whole genome shotgun sequence.